rnacentral:tRNA from 1 species
GGAUGGGUGGCCGAGUGGUCGAAGGCGCUGGUUUUGAAAACCAGUGUGCACAAAAUGCACCGGGGGUUCGAAUCCCUCCCCAUCCGCCA